rnacentral:rRNA from 1 species
CACGCCUUAAACGAUGAUUACUCGAUGUGUGCGAUACACAGCACGCGUCCUAGCGAAAGCGUUAAGUAAUCCACCUGGGGAGUACGAUCGCAAGGUUGAAACUCAAAGGAAUUGACGGGGGCCCGCACAAGCGGAGGAGCAUGUGGUUUAAUUCGAUGAUACGCGAGGAACCUUACCUGGGCUUGAAAGUUAGUGACCGUCUGUGAAAGCAGACUUUCCGCAAGGACACGAAACUAGGUGC